GCGUACGUGUUAAGCGAGCGGAGAGUGUUUUGUACGAACACGUUUUCAUAAACCAAACAGAGGAUCCCCAGCGCCAAGACAAGUCCAUGGGGUUUUCGCAGAAAAGAAACACCGCAAUCUUUGUCCUUUUACACUUCCAAAUCUAAAUAAAACUUUCCCAAUUUCUUCAAUCUCCAUCUUCAAUGAAUUGUUGAGUUUUGGCAAUUUCCAUGCACGAUAUGCCAAUUGGGUUUCUUCUGCUAUGUCCCAUUCUCAUAUAUUAAAGUGGCAACUUGGCACUAUCUUCUCUGGCUGCUGUAAUGGUGUAAAACUGGGGGCAAAUAUCCAGCUCACAUGCUCAAAUCUUACUGCCCAACACACUUACUCACAGAAGUGACAACAAAAAUCUGGCAUUCCUCUCAACCCUAGAUCCAACAAUCGGGCACGCAAAUUUCAGAAAUAGCCCAACAAAUGCAAAUCCACCGGAUCAUUAGCUGGGUUAGGCCCAACUAAUGUACGAACGUCAGGCCCAGUAAAGCCCAGCCCAAAUAAUGUCCGAACGUCAGGUCCAGUAAAGGCCAGCCCAACUAUUGUACGAACGUCAGGUCCAGUAAAGCCCAGCCCAAUAUCGCGUAUCCUCUUGUUAGGACACUAUUUUGCAUUAACUAUUAAUAGAAAAUAAUUGGUUCAUAAUAUUAAAUCACCUUAAAACUUUUUUUUUUAUUUAUUUUUAAAAACAUCU